rnacentral:rRNA from 1 species
AUGAACGCUGGCGGCAUGCCUUACACAUGCAAGUCGAACGGCAGCACGGGAGCAAUCCUGGUGGCGAGUGGCGAACGGGUGAGUAAUAUAUCGGAACGUGCCCAGUCGUGGGGGAUAACUACUCGAAAGAGUGGCUAAUACCGCAUACGAUCUACGGAUGAAAGCGGGGGAUCGCAAGACCUCGCGCGAUUGGAGCGGCCGAUAUCAGAUUAGGUAGUUGGUAGGGUAAAAGCCUACCAAGCCUGCGAUCUGUAGCUGGUCUGAGAGGACGACCAGCCACACUGGAACUGAGACACGGUCCAGACUCCUACGGGAGGCAGCAGUGGGGAAUUUUGGACAAUGGGCGCAAGCCUGAUCCAGCAAUGCCGCGUGCAGGACGAAGGCCUUCGGGUUGUAAACUGCUUUUGUACGGAGCGAAAAGGUCUCUACUAAUACUAGGGGCUCAUGACGGUACCGUAAGAAUAAGCACCGGCUAACUACGUG